rnacentral:lncRNA from 1 species
UGGGACCAACAAGAUAUUUUGGACAGCCCACACCUACCCACUCACUUUCCCCACUUCAUUCCAUCCACCUCCUUCUCCAAGCUUUCGGCCAUCUCCUCCUCCUCACCUCAUUUCCACCAUAGAUUCAACAAAAUUAAGUGGUGAAAUUACCUUUUUUUGAUAGGUAAGUAAGGGAAAGCUAUCUUCAUGAUAUAGAUCUACUUUUUUUCCUCCCUAGUUCGCUCCAACAACGUGCACAUGCACUUUUUGUGGCCUAGCUAGAUCUAUGUAUGUUUGUGGUGUUGCAUGUGUUUGUGGUGUUGCAUAUAUGUUUGUGUUUGAAGGUACCGGUAUUUGAAAUAUGCGAUAGUUGCCAAUAUUUUGCCGAAAUGUUUUGAUUCAUUUCCGUUUCGACGAGAAUUUUGGCACUAUGAAUUCUUUUUGGUCCUAUUUUUAGGGAAGGUCAUGCCAAAUUUUUUCUUGGUUCUAACAUAUCGUUUUGCUCUACCCCGCAGGCGACCAUGGUCCGCACGAUGACUAAAGGCAUCGUGAAUAGGUUUUUGAGCUCCGCGAAGGCCGAGAUGCUUCAAAAGAACGAGAGGGAGAUAAGAUGUCCAUGUCGAAGAUGCAAGCUGAAGAGCCUUAUUGCGGACCCGGAUUCCGGGCAGGUGCGGGACCACCUGCUCUUGCGUGGUUUCAUGGAUGGCUAUCGGUGGCAAGGUGAUGAAGAUGACUAUCAAGUCGUCCAUGGCCGGGGCCGGGCAAGAAAUGAGGAAGGACAACAAGACAAGUACCACCGCGGCGAGGGCGGGCGAGAAGACGAAGAAUCUCCAGGACAUGAUCACGAUGGUGAUGCUGUACACAGUCAUCAUGUAGAAGAUGUCGUACAUGAUGAUGAGGAAGAUCAAGACGAAGGGAAUGAUCAUGAAGAUGAAGAUGCCGGAGCAGACGACGAUGGAGGCUGGGUGCAGGACCCUCAUAUUCAAGAGCUGCUUCUCAAGCGGACGGAUAACGCAAGAGCUGCCGCCCGACACAUCCGGUAAACCUUCUUCCUCAUAACCCUAGAUCUAUCUCUUAGGGAUCAUGUUUUCAUCUACGUUCAUAGGUGCUCAUCCGUAGUCUCUUCGUAUUCACUUCUGUCGUAGCUUUUUUGACUCAACUAUAGCAUAAAUCCCGUGCGGUAGUUGUUCCGCAUCCAGUUUAGUACUUAGUAGGUCUCCCUCUUUAUACAGAUUCCCUUAAUAGAGUGUACGAACUUCUCUGCUCUGUUUAUCACCUUUAUAGAUCGCAGAAAAUUUUCUUACUGAAACUCUGGUAGAUCCAAAUUAAUUUUGUCUCUGUGUGAAACCUGUUUCUGCCAACACUUAGCAGAUUUUGAACCCAGGCCCUUCUGCCUACGGGCGGUUUAUACCAUUAGCCCUCUCUUAAACCACCAACCAAUCUUAUCAGCAACUUGCCGGGUUAACACUAAAAAAUACACUUAAACCGCUUAAAUUGUGAAUCGGCAUUUAUUCUUCCUUGCAGCUUUUUCCUCCGGAAUGACCAAACAAUUCUCUACCUGUAAUUGGGUUCUGUCCAAGAUUACUGAGACUCAAAUCAAUGGAUAUGUCACCACUGGCGCUUUAGCCUCAAAGAGGGUGCUUCGCUGGCGAGUUCCGGGCUCUGAAUGCCCACCGACGCCUCAGGAUGGAGAAGUGAUUGUUUUUAUGCAACACCUAGACCAAGGAUUCAGCCCGCCCGGAUCAAAAAAUUCCCGGGAUGUCCUCGCAAGCUUCGAGCUCCAUCCACAAGACAUUGGACCGAACUCCGUGUCCAAUAUAUGAAACUUUCAAGUCUUCUGCGAAGUUUACCUCCAAGAAGAGCCAUAUGUGGAGUUGUUCCGGGAUUUCUUCCACUUGAACCGUCGCACAGAGUUCUCUGAUGGUCCCAACAUAGAGCUUGGUGGCGUCUCAAUUCAGAAAUGGAAAGAAGUUGACUUCCCACAUGCCAAACAUCAUAGCCAUCCUAAGGAUUGGAACCAGACUUGGUUUUACUGCCGGAACACUGCCCCUGACGGAGAAAAUCCUCUGCCGGGUUACCGUCGACACCGGCUUAGCAACAACCACCCAUUACCUUCAUGCUUAUCCGCCGCAGAGCCCUCAUGGCCAACGGUUUAACUGGCAUUGACCUCGUCCGCUGCUGGGUAUCUUGGGGUAUUUUACCCUUAAGCCGCCGCCCCGGAUUGAUGCAUGAAUACACUGGCAACGUCAAAGACCCUCAACGCUAUCAUGAAAUAGUAAUGACGGACCUUGAAGUUACUGAAUCUGCAAAGAAGAUGCUUGAUGAAACAGUAUCUGCAUGCAGUCAAACCGGAUGGCACCUUUUUACGUCUCCAAUCCUCCACCAGCGGUAAAGUUUAUCUGAAUAUUUCUUGAUUCGCCUCCGCUUUAACUGUGUGCUGACAUUUCUUUGCCUUAAUGUUAUAGGCUAACAGCUCCUUCUGGAAGCGGACGAAACCGGCCAAGGCUCGUCCAAAAACCAAGGUUAUCAAGAAGGUUCCCAAGAAGAAAAUCGCCGAGUCUUCUGAUCCGCCAGAGGAUGAGGAAUCAGACGCAGAGGUAAAAUUUGACUUACUUGGUUCCUUUAUUCGUACAUCCUAUUGACAAUGAUUGUUCCCAGGAGGAAGUUGAAGCCAGCCACGCCGACAAUGCUGAGGUAAUCACCCUUUCUUCCGAUUCUGAUCUUGUGCUGGUUCAAAAAGUUCACCGCACAAUCCGGAAAGUAAAACUAUCUCACCCUCUUGCUCAUUUGGAUCCCCAAUUUUCUGUGAAGACACAGCAAGCUGUAGAACGUCGCACAACCCGGCACAGUGGUCAACAAACCACCUCAUCCGGUUUACCAGAUACACCAACCCAGAAACGUCGUCCAGAGGUGACUUAUUCUCCUAAAAAGCUUUAUCCUUUGAAGGGUUUCUUCCGAUGCCCACUCAAUCCGUCUGAUUCGAAUUAUCAGGCAUCUUCCAACUCGUCUGGCGGUUCAUCAACCACUCAGUUGCCUCCCCUCAAGGUUGUCGCUGGGUAAGUACACAUUCUCAAGCUGUUUCUUCACGUGCCGGUUUAUCAUAUUUUAACUUUGGAUGUUUGUAGCGCCAAGGCCCGAUUGAGUAAAAAGGCCAAGACCAGCAGCCAUGCUGACGAAGUUGAUCCGGAGAAGACUCCUGAAGACGAGGGCGAAAAUCCUAAGAUUUCCACAGACCACUCUACUCCGGAAAAUCCAGGUGCUGAUGCUAAUCCGCCAGAGGCUGAACCGGAGAUACAGGUUGAUACAUCAACUCCUGAUGCCACCCCUCCAAAUCCAACUUCUGAUCCGCCAACCCCUGCUACCAGGUCGCCGAGCCCUACUGCCAAAGCGCCAAGCCCUGCUAAGGAGAAUAUCAAUCCUUCAAGCCCCUCCAAGGACGAUGACGUUGUUGUUACUGGUACGGCAUAUACCGCCCCAGGAAAUCCAGUUGUUUUAUCCAAGAAUACCGCCAAGGAUGAAUUUGCAUUUAUGAAUAAGGGGAAGAGCAAAACUGAUUUGUAAGACUAUGAUGAUUUAUCUGCCCAAGACCUUCAUUCCGGCUUCUUAAACCGUCUCUCCACCAGCCGAGACUAUGAGGCCGGUUUGGUAAAUUUGAUGAAAGAGCGCUAUGAGGUAAACCGUUGAAUCCUUUACUCUACCUUCAUUACAUUGUAGCCCCCAAGGGCCGGUUUGCCUUUAGAAAGUCAAACCGGGACUUUGCUUAUUUCAAACUGUACCUUGUUAAUUUCCUUUGUGCAUUUUUUAUCAAAUACACAUUAGCCCCCAAGUGCCAUGGUUAAAACUUGUAUUAGUCCGUGGGACUUCAAUAAUAAGUAGAAAAAAGUAAUCCUCAUUAGCCCCCAAGUGCCAAGUGUAUAACUGGUUAUAUGCUUGGGACUUUCAAAAAGGUAUUGAUCUGCUCUCCUUACUGUUGUAGAGUGAGAUAAAUCAACAAGUCUCUCAGAUUGCCAAUCUUCAAGAAAAUUUGAAAACCCAACAAACAGAAACCACCAAGGCUAGGGAGGAAUUGAAAACUGCCUUAACCACCAAUGAACAGCCGAAAGAGUGGUUCAAGUCCGAGCAGACCAACUGGGAUUCCGAAAAAGCCAGUUUACUGAAGCGGGCAGAAGAUGCUGAAUCAGUUCUUAAACCGGUGAAAGAAGAGCUUAUUGGAUUAAAGCGCCAAAUCAAUGCCAUGACCUCUGCAAUAUUUUGUAAGUAUUGUUUGCCAAUGUUUUAUGAAUACUCCGCUUUGAAAUCUUGUCGGUUUAACUUGACAUCCUUAAACCGUUGCAGGAGGCCGCAUUGCUCAACUGGGCUCUGAUAUGCGGAAGAAGCUCAAGGACGCCUAUACGCUGAUUGAACAGUUGUAUACCGGUGCCCAACGAGUUAUCUGUGCAGCUUCUUACGACAGUGCAGCUCCGACACUGAUCAAGGACACUCUGGCUAAGUUAUCUACGACGCCAGCUCAGAUAGAAGAGGUGAAGUGAUCCGCCGCCAGGGCUGGCACUUUGUUAGCACUGACCCGAGCCAAGGCAUGGAUAGCCGCCCUUGAUCUGGUUGGUAUUGCCAAGGGCUUUCCUAGUGAACAGGAAAAUGGGGCAGUAUUUGACAAUGACGCCCUUAAAUGUGUAACAAGGGAGAUGCGUCCUCUGGCGAGUCAGUUGGCUGAAGAAGCAAACUUGACGGUUCACCGGUCUUUCUAUGAUGCUGACAAAAAACGGGUUGAGGCUGUCAUUCCGGAAGUGCAAAACCUUAUUCCGCCAAUCCGUAAGCAUACUUACGCCCCUGACGUUCACCCGACUAAUCUUAUAAGUGAAGAGGUUGUCUUUCAGGCCUUAACCCGGAUUGACUGGACCACCGCUGACUUCCAACCAGUGGGUGGAGAUGAAGAGGCUGAACCGACACCAGAUGAUCCAUCUACUUCACGUCAACAUGGCGGUGAUGCUUGAUCCGGCAAUCCGGUUCACUUUGCGCAAAACUAUCCGGUUUAGAACAAUCCCAUAUUUUGGGNNNNNNNNNNUGUUUAAACACCUUGUAAUAGGGUAGCAAAAAAUACUUUGAUCUGUUACCAUCACGCAGUGGGAAAUACUUUGUGUUCUGUCACCAAAAUGUUGGAUCAUAUAUCAUAAGAUGCAAUCCCUAUGUCUGCAUAAAAAGAAUUGUCCUGGUGGUUUACCGCCGGACGGGUCAUAAUACCCAUGGUAAAUCCUGAUUGAGAACCAAACUUUACAAAAUAUGAAAUAACUCAUACCUGAGAUGUGAUAUAUCACGUUUAGUUGGUUGACCAACUGUAAUAAGGGUGAAGACCCAAAUCUUGAAUUUUUGUACAACUUCACCUUGUACUGAUGGUGUAUAAGAAGUCAUGCUGGGUUACAAUAAACACCAGAUGAUCAAAACUGGCGACAAGUAGUCAAAGCCAGGCCGGGUUAAUACACUCCGGUUUAACAAUAAGGUUCAUCAACUUUGAGUUGAGAUCCAAGCCGGGUUAACUAACACCGGGUUAAUGUGAUGACUAAAAAGCCAUACCAGAUUGAAGAUGCCGGUUUAACACAAAGUCAUCAAAGAGAAAAAUAGUAACAAGCGCAAAUAAAACCGUGUAGUCGAGGCAUUUCAAGGGCUGCCAGGCCCAAAUUCGAGGCUUUUCAUGGGCUGCCAGGCCACUGAGUUAAACCAUUUGACGAAGCCUUUUAAGAUGGACCUCCAACUAACCAAUCACCGUUUUAACUUUGACAAGUUCAGGGUCUCAAUGAGAGUAACUGUCAAACGUUCGGAGGGUCGUGCCAGGAUUCUCUGGAUAGGAGUGGCUUACUUGAUGAAGGCAGGUUAACCCGGGGUUUUAGGUAAAUAUACCAGGCUUCCAAGCCGUGGGGCGAUACCCAGCUACAAGGGUCCAUUCAAACUCCUGGGUAUUUGACACAAGGAGCCCCCAAGUAACAUGAUGAGCUGUGCUCAUCAGGUGCUUAUGUUUGAGCUAUGUAUAGCAUCCAGACUCUCUAUGGCCCUUUGGGUGUGAAGCUCCCGAGCUGUAUUGUGGCAUAAUAGUCGGUUUAAUAGGUAGUACUCCGCUUUGUCAGCUAAAGCCCCCAUGCAACUCAAAAGAUAUUUUGAGAGAAAAAACAGCAGAGGCCCUGCUUAUAGCAAGGAUGCUAGUUCAUUUUAUUGAUCAUAAUAUAUACAUUGUCGAAAUAUGUACAUAAGGAAAGCCUAUCGCUCAAGUAUAGUAAGGCCGUAGGAGAGCUAUGUUCCUCGGCCGCCGGGUCUCCUCCUCAGAAGUACGUGAGUUGUCUCGAACGUCAAUGAGGUAGUAUGAUCCGUUGUGCAGAUUUUUGCUGACCACAAAGGGUCCUUCCCAAGGUGGGGAUAACUUGUGCAUGUCGGUCUGAUCCUGGAUGAGCCGGAGCACCAAAUCGCCUUCUUGAAAGGUUCUUGUUCUAACACGAUGGCUAUGAUAACGCCGCAAGUCUUGCUGGUAAACCGCCGAACGGGCUAAAGCCAUAUCUCGUUUUUCAUCCAACAGGUCCAACGCCCACUACUAGGAAAAGGGCUAUAGAUAGGAUUGAUUCUAAUGGCGCACCGUGGAAGCAGUGCGCCACUACUAUAUACUAAUGGCGCACCUGUUUGUGAUACGCCAUUAGUGUGGAAGACACUAAUGGCGCACCGUAAACAGGGUGCGCCACUAGUAUGAAUUAUUAUUUUUUUCCAUUUUCCCAUACAUACUAAUGGCGCAUCGGGUCCAUAAUGCGCCAUUACUAUCUAUAACUACUAAUGGCGCACCAAGCAGGCAGUGCGCCAUUACUGUAAAUUUUGUUUUAUUCUUUUUUUUUGCAAAACUACUAAUGGCGCAUCGUGGCACAGUGCGCCAUUACUAGUUUAAACUAGUAAUGGCGCACUCAGAGGAGAUGCACCAUUAGUAUAUAUACUUAUUAUUUUUACUUUUUUGCAAAACUACUAAUGGCGCACCGUAGGCUGAUGCGCCAUUAGUAACCAGGGUUACUAAUGGCGCAUUUUCCUACGGUGCGCCAUUAGUAACCUGGGACCAACAAGAUAUUUUGGACAGCCCACACCUACCCACUCACUUUCCCCACUUCAUUCCAUCCACCUCCUUCUCCAAGCUUUCGGCCAUCUCCUCCUCCUCACCUCAUUUCCACCAUAGAUUCAACAAAAUUAAGUGGUGAAAUUACCUUUUUUUGAUAGGUAAGUAAGGGAAAGCUAUCUUCAUGAUAUAGAUCUACUUUUUUUCCUCCCUAGCUCGCUCCAACAACGUGCACAUGCACUUUUUGUGGCCUAGCUAGAUCUAUGUAUGUUUGUGGUGUUGCAUGUGUUUGUGGUGUUGCAUAUAUGUUUGUGUUUGAAGGUACCGGUAUUUGAAAUAUGCGAUAGUUGCCAAUAUUUUGCCGAAAUGUUUUGAUUCAUUUCCGUUUCGACGAGAAUUUUGGCACUAUGCAUUCUUUUUGGUCCUAUUUUUAGGGAAGGUCAUGCCAAAUUUUUUCUUGGUUCUAACAUAUCGUUUUGCU